CACCACUAAGGCAGCUUCUUUUUUUGGAGAUUACUUCUGCGUGGGGUUUCUACAGUGAACCUCAAUGUUGGUGUGUGUUCAUCUUGACUGAGAGUCUCAGCAUUGGAUCAGUUCAAGAAUACAGAUGCAUACAUGCUGAAGCUGGUAAACUGCAGUUUUGAAGAAAUAUCUCUUCACUGAUCCAUGCAAUGGUGCUGGCACCCUACUACUAUGAAAAAUCUACACUUAUACCUACUGAUACUAUUUGGAUUCUUAGCUCUGAAGACUCCAUUUGAAAGCAGGUGCUGAGGCUUAAAACAGCUUGUAUUAGAUAGAAUCCUACCCAAAGGAACUAUGAGAAACAAAACUUCACUUUUUUUUUUUUCCCAAUAAGCUCCUGCAUAACUAGAACUAUGUGUAAGAGGAAGAGAAUUACGCUACAGACAGAACAGCGGACUUGAGGAAGAAUUUUGUAUCUGCUACUGUGAUCUAUGAGCUGAGGAAAGCAGAAUCACAAACUGAUUUUUUAAUUAAUAUUCAGUUUUUGAAUUUUCUGAAGAAUUUUGCAAGUUAGCCCUUAAGAGGAUCUAAGCUACCAAAUUCAGCUCCUUCCAAGAACAUAUACAAAGUUGCUGAUGACUGCAUCGCUCAGCCUCCACCAGUUCUUCAAACAGAAGAUGCUUCUUUCUACCUAAUCUUUGCAUGUCUUCUAUGACCCUGUGAAGAGAUGUUAUUCUUCAUCCAUUUCCAUCAAUACUAAUCUUCUGUAUUAAAAAUGUUUCCCAUGCACAUAACUAUGUGACAUGUACAAAACAUGCAGUGUAUAAAUCAACAGAUUUCUUCCAUUGUAAAUAUCUUUAAAUAUGAACUUUUAGUUACUAAGUGGACGCACAUAUAUAAAGCUGUACACAGUAUCUACAAGGCAUCCAAGAAGGCUGAAUGUCUUAAAGAAACAUCUAUGUUAGUUUCUCCAAUUUUUUAUUUUAUGAAGUUGACUAAUGGAGCAAUAGUACAAGAACAAAAUAGUGAAGUCUGCUCAACAGAAAUGAUAAAAUAAAAAUACAUAUUUUCUCAAUCUUUCUUAUAAAUGAUAACAUACUGUUCAAGACUGUCUAACAGUAACUAUGAAAUACUGCAGAAUGUCAUACCUAGAAAGUGAGAUAAGGACUAUUAUGACAUACAUGUUGCUUUAUCAUUGAGUGCUCAUGAAGAAAA